GUUUGCUUAGGAAACUCUUCUGUUAAAGUCAGCACAAUACAGGGAAGAUUACCAUGGGCCCUGCAAAAAGAAUGGUAUGUGAAUUCAUGAAAUACUCCAUAUUUUU